GCGAAAGCCUGAUGCAGCGACGCCGCGUGAGGGAUGACGGCCUUCGGGUUGUAAACCUCUUUCAGCAGGGAAGAAGCCACAAGUGACGGUACCUGCAGAAGAAGCGCCGGCUAACUACGUGCCAGCAGCCGCGGUAAUACGUAGGGCGCAAGCGUUGUCCGGAAUUAUUGGGCGUAAAGAGCUCGUAGGCGGUUUGUCGCGUCUGCUGUGAAAGCCCGGGGCUUAACCCCGGGUGUGCAGUGGGUACGGGCAGACUAGAGUGCAGUAGGGGAGACUGGAAUUCCUGGUGUAGCGGUGGAAUGCGCAGAUAUCAGGAGGAACACCGAUGGCGAAGGCAGGUCUCUGGGCUGUUACUGACGCUGAGGAGCGAAAGCAUGGGGAGCGAACAGGAUUAGAUACCCUGGUAGUCCAUGCCGUAAACGUUGGGCACUAGGUGUGGGGGACAUUCCACGUUUUCCGCGCCGUAGCUAACGCAUUAAGUGCCCCGCCUGGGGAGUACGGCCGCAAGGCUAAAACUCAAAGGAAUUGACGGGGGCCCGC
rnacentral:rRNA from 1 species